rnacentral:lncRNA from 1 species
GGUCUGGGUGGCCUUCAUAGCUCAGGGUGAGAUACCCUUGGGUCCUGAGUGACCCCAUCCCCUCCUCCCCCCAGAUGAAAUAUAUUCAGGACUUCCAGAGAGAGAAACAGGAGUUCGAGCGAAACCUGGCCCGAUUCAGGGAGGAUCACCCCGACCUAAUCCAGAAUGCCAAGAAAUCGGACAUCCCAGAGAAGCCCAAAACCCCCCAGCAGCUGUGGUACACCCACGAGAAGAAGGUGUAUCUCAAAGUGCGGCCAGAUGCCACUACGAAGGAGGUGAAGGACUCCCUGGGGAAGCAGUGGUCUCAGCUCUCGGACAAAAAGAGGCUGAAAUGGAUUCAUAAGGCCCUGGAGCAGCGGAAGGAGUACGAGGUUAGGCUUCCGCUGCGCUCCUCCCCGUCCGGCUCUUCACGAGCCUCUGCCCUCCGACUCCGUGGCCACCGCACUCUGCGGGAGGUGUCACUCCCCAUCCCUCUGUUGAGGGAGGGGCCUUCUGGGCCCCUCACCUCUGCCCCUACCUUCCCCACCCCCCACCC